rnacentral:tRNA from 1 species
GCAUUUGUAGCUCAAUAUUUAGAGCGCCGGUUUUGUAAACCGGAGGCUGGAGGUUAAACCCCUCCCUGCUGCU